AGCUAAGUUCGGAAUCGAUAACCGCUGAAAGCAUCUAAGCGGGAAGCGAGCCCUGAGAUGAGUCAUCCCUGACCCCUUGAGGGUCCUGAAGGGCCGUUGGAGACCACAACGUUGAUAGGUGGGGUGUGUAAGCGCGGCGACGUGUUGAGCUAACCCAUACUAAUUACCCGUGAGGCUUAACCAU
rnacentral:rRNA from 1 species